rnacentral:tRNA from 1 species
GCGGGGGUGGUGGAAUUGGUAGACACGCCAGAUUUAGGAUCUGGUGCCUUCGGCAUGAGAGUUCGAGUCUCUCCCUCCGCA